UGACUGCAUGAGGCUGUACGUAUCUUCAGCCUGCCUCUUUUCAUGGUGUUUAUCCACUCACACAGUGAUGAGCAGUGGUGGAGGCAAUGCCCAGAGCUGUGGCAGCCACCUUGCAGCCGUGAAGCACCAGUGGGAAUGACAGUCAAGAGAACCAUGGAGAUGCCAGCCCCUGGACCCACAGCAGCAGCACCUGCUUCCAGACUGAGAGUGUGAGAAAAAAAUAAACCCCUAUUUGUUUAUGGCAAGAGACAAGGUCUAGCUCUGUGACGCAGGCCGGAGGACAGUGGUGUGAUCACAGCUCACUGCAGCCUUGAACUCCUGGGUUCCAGCAAUCCUCCCACCUCAGCCUCCUUAGUAGGCGUGGCUACAGUAAUGGAAGACAGCAAAAGAAGUUUGGAGAUUCCUGGUUUAAAGCAUUUAAAGCCUCUGUGAAAAUUUGCCCAGGCCAACAACUGCACUUUCCACACUCAGUGCCACGAAGUGCAGCUCUAAGCUGGGGAUUUCUGUGCAGAGAUGAUCCACUGAGUGCAACCCACCACCGUGCGGACACCACCCCUGCAGAAUCAUCUGUGAAAACAACCCCAGGCCCAGACAUAGGGGCCAGCUAAGCUUCGUAGCCCUCGAAAUACAGGGAGUGCCCCCUCUGGACCCUCGAGCCCACAGUCCAUCCACCACAGAGGUGUCUGCUGCUCAUCAGAUAGUUCCUACCAGGAAAAUGCUGUGUGAACCCAUCUGUGUGGCAAACCGGCAUGGGGAGAAAGCUGACUUCCAAGGACGUCUACCAACUGUCACUUGCAAACCAGAACUUGCCUCUUUGUAGAUGAAGACUGGCAGGGCUGAAGAAAUGAUCUCGUGUUGAAAUUAAUGAUGAACUUC
rnacentral:sRNA from 1 species